rnacentral:misc_RNA from 1 species
GAUGAAGAACGUAGCGAAAUGCGAUAAGUAAUGUGAAUUGCAGAAUUCAGUGAAUCAUCGAAUCUUGAACGCACAUUGCGCCCCUUGGUAUUCCGAGGGGCAUGCCUGUUCGAGCGUCAUUAUAACCCUCAAGCUCAGCUUGGUGUUGGGGCCUGCUGCACUGGCAGCCCUUAAAAUCAGUGGCGGCGCCAUCUGGCUCUAAGCGUAGUAAUUCUUCUCGCUAUGGAGUCCUGGUGGAUGCUUGCCAUCAACCCCCAAUUUUUCUAUGGUUGACCUCGGAUCAGGUAGGGAUACCCGCUGAACUUAAGCAUAUCAAUAAGCGGAGGA